AAGUGAAAAUUUACUAAAAUAGUUUUACUUUUAAUUGAAGUAUUGUUGUAGUUCAAAAAUACCACAACUCAUAAGCUUGUUAAAUUUCUUAUCCGCCCCUAUUAAAAAGCCCUUAUAACGUUAAUAUCGAAGCAAUUCCUCAAUUCAUAUUCCAUUAAGUGUAUUUUUCCUACUCAAGAGUUCGUUUACCUUUGACUCAAUUAUAAAAAUUCUGUCUUCUUAUCAUAAACGGUAUACUUAGGUACUUCUUCUUCUAUAUUAAAGUUAUAAGUAUUUUAUAUCAGCAAAUAUGCCUUAUGUACAAUUUAAUACUAAGUUUGGAUUGCGUGUCACUUCCCAUCAACACAACAAACCUCUUUGAUAUUACCUUAAUACCUUACCUACCUACCUAUAUCAUUUUUGAACCAGAUAUUGAUAGCUGCACACGGCCUCAACGUCAUCAUCAUCAUGAAUCAUAUCUCAAACGAAAACAUGGAAUUAAAAAAAAACAGUUUACGAUCGUUAAGUUGAUGGCUGCGAAGCUAUAUGGCUAAAGUUGGUAUAUGUAGUGAAGUCGUAUAAAUUGCUAACAACUUAAAAUAUUGCACACCGCACGAAAGAUUGUUUUGUAUAAAACCUGACGCCCGCUUAAUUGUGACAUCAUUCAGACAAAGCACGAUCGUGGAUUGAUUAAACGUUCCCAAAAAAAUAAUAAUAAUUAUAAUCUAAUCAAAAUGCCUUGUGGAGGUUGUAAAACUGAUUGCAAAUGUGCCGGUGGAAAGUGCGGUGAGACCUGUUGCAAGGGUCAAGAUUGCAAGUGCAAUAAAAAACCUGAAACAGAAUCCAAAGGAAGUUGUUGCCAAGGAAAGGGAAAUUGUCAAUAGGAUCCGAUCCGUGUAUAGUGUUAACCUAUUUAUUAUAAUUUGUGUUUGAUAAGCUGUAUUUUGUAAGAAUGAAUUGAAUUAUUGAAAGUGUACCUACUAGUCUAUUUUUAAUUAUUAAAGAACAAGAAAACAA